rnacentral:rRNA from 1 species
UACGUAGGGUGCGAGCGUUAAUCGGAAUUACUGGGCGUAAAGUGUGCGCAGGCCGCCGAGCAAGUCGAGUGUGAAAGCCCCGAGCUUAACUUGGGAACUGCGCUCGAAACUACUUGGCUAGAGUGUGGCAGAGGGAGGUGGAAUUCCACGUGUAGCGGUGAAAUGCGCAGAUAUCAGGAGGAACACCGGUGGCGAAGGCGGAUCUCUGGGCCUUACCUGACGCUCAGGCGCGAAAGCUAGGGGAGCGAACAGG